GACGAACGCUGGCGGCGUGCUUAACACAUGCAAGUCGAACGGAAAGGCCCUGCUUUUGUGGGGUGCUCGAGUGGCGAACGGGUGAGUAACACGUGAGUAACCUGCCCUUGACUUUGGGAUAACUUCAGGAAACUGGGGCUAAUACCGGAUAGGAGCUCCUGCUGCAUGGUGGGGGUUGGAAAGUUUCGGCGGUUGGGGAUGGACUCGCGGCUUAUCAGCUUGUUGGUGGGGUAGAGGCUUACCAAGGCUUUGACGGGUAGCCGGCCUGAGAGGGUGACCGGCCACAUUGGGACUGAGAUACGGCCCAGACUCCUACGGGAGGCAGCAGUGGGGAAUAUUGCACAAUGGGCGGGAGCCUGAUGCAGCAACGCCGCGUGCGGGAUGACGGCCUUCGGGUUGUAAACCGCUUUCGCCUGUGACGAAGCGUGAGUGACGGUAAUGGGUAAAGAAGCACCGGCUAACUACGUG
rnacentral:rRNA from 1 species